AACGAACGCUGGCGGCAUGCCUAACACAUGCAAGUCGAACGAGACCUUCGGGUCUAGUGGCGCACGGGUGCGUAACGCGUGGGAACCUGCCCUUAGGUUCGGAAUAACUCCCCGAAAGGGGUGCUAAUACCGGAUAAUGUCUUCGGACCAAAGAUUUAUUGCCUUUGGAUGGGCCCGCGUUGGAUUAGCUAGUUGGUAGGGUAAAAGCCUACCAAGGCGACGAUCCAGAGCUGGUCUGAGAGGAUGAUCAGCCACACUGGGACUGAGACACGGCCCAGACUCCUCCGGGAGGCAGCAGUGGGGAAUAUUGGACAAUGGGCGAAGGCCUGAUCCAGCAAUGCCGCGUGAGUGAUGAAGGCCUUAGGGUUGUAAAGCUCUUUUACCCGGGAUGAUAAUGACAGUACCGGGAGAAUAAGCUCCGGCUAACUCCGUG
rnacentral:rRNA from 1 species